ACCGGCAGCUCAAGUGGUGGCCAUUAUUAUUGGGCCUAAAGCGUUCGUAGCCGGUUUGAUAAGCCUCUGGUGAAAUCCCGCAGCUUAACUGUGGGACUUGCUGGAGAUACUAUCAGACUUGAGGUCGGGAGAGGUUAGGGGUACUCCCAGGGUAGGGGUGAAAUCCUAUAAUCCUGGGAGGACCACCUGUGGCGAAGGCGCCUAACUGGAACGAACCUGACGGUGAGUAACGAAAGCGUGGGGAGCAAACAG
rnacentral:rRNA from 1 species